UACGAAGGGGGCUAGCGUUGCUCGGAAUCACUGGGCGUAAAGCGCACGUAGGCGGAUUGCUAAGUCAGGGGUGAAAUCCUGGAGCUCAACUCCAGAACUGCCUUUGAUACUGGCAACCUUGAGUCCGGGAGAGGUGAGUGGAACUGCGAGUGUAGAGGUGAAAUUCGUAGAUAUUCGCAAGAACACCAGUGGCGAAGGCGGCUCACUGGCCCGGUACUGACGCUGAGACGCGAAAGCGUGGGGAGCCGAACAGG
rnacentral:rRNA from 1 species